CGCAUAACCCGUCUCAGC
rnacentral:siRNA from 1 species